rfam:Oryza sativa (indica cultivar-group) chromosome 9, whole genome shotgun sequence.
CAAAAGACAAACCGUAGAUUUACGUGCUAAUAUUUAACUGUCCGUCUUAUAUAAAAUUUUUUUAUAAUUAGUAUUUUUAUUGUUGUUAGAUGAUAAAACAUGAUGAAUACUUUAUGCGUGACUUAUCUUUUUAAUUUUUUUCAUAAUUUUUUCAAAUAAAACGGACCGUCAAACAUUGUACACGAAAACCAAAGUUUGUUUUUUUG